GGGAGUAUGGGGGUAGGAAUGAGUAGAAUUAAUCAUACCCUAUAUGUAUAUAUGAUUGCACUAUCUGAGUAACUCUACAUCAUACAUUUCAUUUCAUCAAGAAUGAAAAGUUAUACUACAUUCAUGUAUGAAAAAAUUUUUUAAAAGAAACACUGUUGCAUAGAAAUAGAAUGCCAGCCAGACUGUGUAUGACCUUAUAUGGGAGACAAAGAGCUGGCAAGUAAAAGAGGAACUAACAAGAGUCCUCAGCUUUUGGAUACAAAUCCGCUGGCACUAAUAAACACUGCUUCCUGCUGAACACCCAGUGCCCUGUCCUGUCUCGGAGAAUCCCACAAGGUAGCUACUCAACCAUGAGUGGGUGAGCAAGUAAGGACAAUAAGAGACCACUGAAAGCCACAGGGAGCCUUAUCUGACAGAUAAGCACCUAUGGGGGUCCUUGUAUGUUAAAACCUAUGCCUGCCUUACUUAAGAAACAUUACCAUUUCUGGACCAUGUCAUCAUUAUCUCUUGUAACCAAGUCUCCAGAACCCUGCCUUAUCGCUCUCCAAUUGCCCUAUUAGCCAAAACAUCAAGACCCUCAUAAUGCCUGAUCUAUUCAAAGAAUUUGAACAUCUGUGACCACUCCAAAAUUCCUGUUGGAAAUGGCCCCCAGUGCAGCAGUAUGAACUCAUCCAGGAGAUGACUAGGCCAUGAGGGCUCUGCUCCUUGAACAGUGCUCCAAGGAAAGAAGAUGGUGCCUACAGGAGCUCUGGGCAGAGAACUAACAACUGCAGGAGUGCCUCUGGGGCAGCACAAUCUCGUCCAGUCUUCUGAUGAUUGGAACUUACAAAGUCAUCCUCCACAAACACUCGUGAACCACCCACUGGCCUCUGCUACUUUGAUUUUUCUGCAGUAACUUUAAUCUGACUCUUGAAGCUGACCUUGACCUUCCCACUCUCUCUGGCUACUGUGGUUUGGAUCUGGAAGGUCUCCAGCAAAACUCACGUGUCAGGAACGCAGUAAGGUCAGAGGUAAGUGAGCAGAUCAGGAAGGCUGGGAUCGCCUCAGAGGACUAACCCACGUGAUGCGCAUGAUCUGACUGGACCACUGAGCGGGAACAGUCGGCAGGUGGGGCACGGCUGCAGGAAUUAGGUCACUGGGAGUGGCCUUGGGGACUGUAUCUGUCCCUGGCCUAUAUCUUCUCUCUCCCCCACUCCUCUUCCUCUCUCUUCUUUCUCUUCUCUACUCCUGUCCCCUACCCCCGCCUUCCAGGCUGCCAUGACCUGAGAAGCUUUCCUCUUCCCUCCACCAUGCCCUUCUGCCAUGAUGCUCUGCCUCACCUCAGGCCCAGAGCACUGGAGUCAGCUGACCAUUGACUGAGAUCUCUGAAACCAUAAGCUCAAAGUCAUCUUCUCCCCCUCUAAGUUUUUCUUAUCAGGUGCAUGGGCCACAGUGAUGCAAAGCUGAUGAACACUUGGCCAGAUGCUGCAUGGGCCCACAUCAGCCUCCCCAGAAUGCUGGUUUAGCAUCCUCGUAGGACCAGCUCCCACCAGUCUCAGGCACUGGUCUUACACACUGUUGUCAUGGUUACCUUCACAGUGUUAAUCACAAGCCUUCUUCAAAAACCAUCAAGACAGCUCCCUAUGCUCACUCUGCCUCUUCCUCCCCAGGGCUCCUCCUCAACUGUAUGCACCCUUCUCAAGCCAGCCUGGCUGGUGACCGCAUCCCUUAUCUAUCAAUCUGUCCAUUUUCUGUUGCUGUUUAAGAAACCUUAUGGCUGGAUGACUUAUAUAGAAAGAUGUCUGUGCAGCUCCCAGUUUUGGAGGCUGAAACUCCAAGUGGCAUGGUGCCAGCUCUGGCAAGGACCCCUCAUUAUGUCACAUCAUGGUGGAUGGCAUCACCAUGGGAACACAAGCUAGAGGGCAAGACCACAUGGUAAGGCAGGAAACCAGAGAGCAGGGAGGAACCAGUCUCACUCCUUUAAAAAAAAAAAAAAAACCCUCUCGUGACUAACCAGAGUCCCAUGAGAACUAUAUUAAUUCCUGCCAAGGACAGCACCCCCCAGUGACCUAAUAACUUCCCACUAGGACUCACCCCUUAAAGGUCCCAUCACUCCCACAUCACCAUGCCAGGACAAAGCUUCUAACACACAACCCUCAGGACAAACCACAUACAAACCAUGCACAAUUCCGACAGGCAAAGUGUCGGGGGCUGUCAUGCUGAGUGACCAGCAUUUUCCUUCCCAUGAUCGGUAGAGGCUCUGUUGGUCACUUUCGUAGUGAUCUGGCCACAUUCAUAGUGGCCCUAGACGGCUGCCCCGAUCCUCAAAGUAGCAGAAUGUGUCUUCAUGCAUAGGCGCGCCUUCCUGCAUCCCCAUGGAUCGAGCUACGCUCACCCGCUCCUUUGUGAUAUUACCCGCUUGCCCUAUUUGGGAUAGAAUGUUCCAUGGAAACUCCCUUUGUGUGUCCCCUUCUCUUACUCUGCCCUUGGGUGUGGCCUUCCUAGAUGUCAGUCCAACCUGCUAACAGCAGACAUCAUGAAGUGUGGAGAGCCAUUCUCACACGUGACUGGGCGACUCCCGGUUUGGGUCUGAGGCGUUCUGGCUGUGUCGGAACUUUCCCGGCCCUCUCCUAAUGAGAGAACCCGUCCGUGUGGGGGUGUGACUGACCACUGACCCCGGGGGCCCAAUCACUGACCCUGACCUUGGAGUGCGGCCCCCCCUCAACCUUCAUUGGAUGGAAUUUACCCUGAAUUUCUUGUUCCCCAAUAAAAGGCUACUCCCUGGCGUGCUCGCUCUCUCUCUCUCCUGCUUGCCCUGAGUAAUCCUUGCUGCCCUACGGGUGGUUCGAGGUUGGAGCCAGAGAGGGGAGCCGUCUUGGACCUGGUCAUAGAAAAAGGUAA